CAUUAGCAACAGAUUUUAAAAUUUCCAUGGGUCAAACCACCAGCUCGACCGCCAUUCUCCGGCGUCACCCCCUCCAGCAGCACUUGAGAAGCUUUGUCGACGCCAGAAUCAAAUGGGUUCGUGACCCUUACCUCGAUAACGCCGUGGAGAAAGAGAAAAAUCUCAAACAACUCAUCUCUCUCAAGAACAUUAUUCUCUCCCACCACUCUAAAACCCUCCCCGUCGCCGCCGUCUCCGGCCACCUGAAACUCCCUACCACCGCCAGUAAGUUCAUCGAUAAAUACCCAUCUGUAUUUAAUCAUUUCUUGUCUCUUAAACCUUUGUCACACCCUCAAGUUAGAGUCACUAAACAAGCCCUUAGUUUACAUAAGUUGGAAACUUUGAUUUGUAAUUCAGCUAAGCAAAAAUUGGAUUCUGCUGAGAGACUUGUGAAGCUUUUAAUGUUGACGAAAAGAAACAAGCUUCCUUUAUUUGUUAUUGAUAAGUUGAAAUUUGAUUUGGGCUUGCCUUUUAAUUACGUUCUUGAUUUACUUCCCGAUUUUCCUGAUUAUUUUCAGAUUGUUAGUAUGGAGAAUUUUGGGUUUGGGUUGGAAUUGGUUUCUUGGAGAAAAGAUUUGGCCUUUUCUGUUAUGGAAUUGAGGAUGAGGGAGAAGGGAAGAAUCCCUAUUAGGUUUUCGAUGAAUUUUCCCAGAGGGUUUGAUUUGCAGAAGAAGGUAAGGGACUGGGUUGCUGAGUGGCAAAAUUUGCCGUAUAUUUCGCCUUAUGAGGAUGCUUCUUAUUUGGGGCCUAAUACUGAUCAGGCGGAGAAAUGGACUGUGGCGGUUCUGCAUGAGUUGCUUCAUCUUUGUGUGUCGAAGAAGACAGAGAUAGAUAAUGUAUGUUGUUUAGGGGAUUAUUUGGGAUUUGGGAAUAGAUUUAAGAAGGCUGUGAUGCAUCAUCCUGGGAUUUUUUACAUGUCCAAUAAGAUUAGAACACAGACUGUGGUUUUGAGGGAGGCAUAUCGAAAAGCUGCUUUGAUUGAUGUGCAUCCACUGAUGGAAAUGCGGUAUCGUUAUAUUGAUCUCAUGAAUAAAAGAGUGAAGAGGAAUCCAUUGCAAGUCAGACCUGACGGGCGGAAGAACUUGUCUGUUUUUUCUGCUAGGGAAGGAAAAGAAAAUUAUAGUAUAAUCCGGGAACAAGACGUAGAGUCAAAAUUGGAUUGCUCUUCCGUAUCAGAGGUUCAAAGUAGUGAUAAUGAAGUAUAUAUGAUGAAAUCAAAGAAAGACCGUAUUGUUGAUUAAUAAGAAAUGCCAUAUUAUUGAUUAAUAUGAUCUUCCGCAAGACAUAAAGUCCUUCUAUUGGAUUAAGGGAGAAAAGUAGAAGACAGGUGGUUGAGCCGAAUGUCAUAGAGCUGAAACUGGAGAGGAGAGGCAACUGGAGAAUGUUAUAAAGCAGAUCUUUCUUCACUUAGAUCACAAGAAAGAUCUGUUUUUGAGCAGACACCGGGUAGCUGAGCUUCAGGCUGAUGUGGGUUGUGCUUGUUGGAAUGAGCUGAAGCUGUAAAUUUCAAGAGAACCAGCCUUGCAAACCAGAGUCCUGAUACUUUUUGGGACCAUGUGUCUUGUGUACUUUCCAGAACAAAGAUAUGAAUCUACCGAUAUAGCGGUGCCGUGCCAAUGUGCCAUGAUCACAACACUUGACACAAUUAAAUUAACUUUUUUUAUGGCUCAUUUGUCACUUAAUUGAAAUGUGGUCUCACAUAAGUCACAUUAUAAGUCUAUAUUUAAGUAAAUACUCUCACAGUUAUCUUUUGUCGUAUAUUAAUAUAUUUUUGUGAGAAAAUAAUGUAGACUAAUAAUUCUUUAAUACAUUUUAUUCAUGUAUGAGUCUAAAUGGAUCUGGUUUAGUAUGGUAGCUAAUGAGUAAUGAUGAUGGCAAGAUAUGGACAAUCCAAGUUCUACUAGUUUCCCUUAGCUGUGAAACUAAUCCUUUUGUAAUACGACAAAUGUUGAUGCAAAGAGAUGUAGGCAUUGACAUUGAGAUGUGGUACAAACAAGAACCCAAGUUACUGCGAUAACCAUGGGAAGUAGGGAACCAUGUCGAUUCACAUAUGCUGGAACCUUUUUUCAGUUAUUGUUCUGGAAAUGCAGGUGAAGUUAUAAUACAAGGAAGACGAUGAUUGAUUCCCUAAAUUGUUUACUGCUCUUGUUUCUCUUCCUCACCGAGACAAUAUCACUUGUUACCUUUCUUCCUCGUGGAAUCCGAGUGAAAACACAAAUAUGGAAGUUGUAACAUCCUGUAUGUCUUGUACUAGUUGGUUUUAUGAUUUUAUCUAUCCGAUGUAAAUAGUGCAAAUUCUACCUUCAAUAUAUGUGGAUUUCGUGCUUAUAAAUUUGAUGGGAAGAAAAUUGAAGGGAAUACUAGUUUGCAUUAAUAGUCA